CAUUAAUUAAAAAACUCUAUCUUGCUCAGGUAUAAAGAGAAAGUGCCCCCUCAUGGCUGGGGCUACCAGCUCCCUUAGGGAUGAUGCUUGUUCCCAGGACAGGAGUGUGGAUAAUUCCUUAGCUACUAAAGUGACAUAAAGAGCAGAGUUUGAGUGCAAGCUCUGACCAGCUUGAGAAAAAUUUAAAGAUUAAGUAGAAAUAAUUAAGUAAAAAUGACUUCAAAUUAUUUAAAACCAAACAACAAUAACAAAACUCCAAUUAUCUGAAAAUGUUCCUGACAAAGCAGAAAACAUUCCAAGUUAAUUGGAGCUGAGAUGCCACAGGUGAGCCGCUUUCCUCCAUCAUACCUUUCCACCAUCAUGUUUCUGCCUUGCAGCCAGUCAGUCAUGGUCUGAAACUUGUGGCACAAAGCAAGAAGGGGUUUUCUGGUCGCUGAGAGUUGUGUGCCUCAUCAAGGAGUUGCUUUGCUGGAUGAACAACCAGGCAAUUGCAAAAUCAAGAAUGAGGAUGAUCAGAGAAGAGUUUGUAUGAAUUUGAUGGCAAGUAGGAGUGGGUGCAUAGAGAGGCAGCCAACCUAGUUGAGUAAUUUUCUCAGAAGAGGAACUACCUGUACUGAAAUGGAAAUCAUUAUUCUUGCCAAAUAUCUCUCAGUGUUCCAGGACAAAUCAACACAAACAACCUUACCAAACAGUUUUAUGUUAAUUAUUUCAG
ensembl:lncRNA